rnacentral:sRNA from 1 species
CAAGGUCGCACAGCCUUGUAGCUGGCCUCUUCUGCUCAAACUAGCAUUUCCUGCUAUAAUCUAAGAGGUAUAGAGAGGAAACCGCAUCACUUCCCUUGUUUGUCCCCACCGCCCAGCAGCCUGGAGACAUUUAGGCCGUAAGUCAAGCGUUUUAUAUCCAGAAAGAGAGAAGGCGGCUUCCCUGGACUCAUCGCUCUGAUUUAUAAAGUCAGCGGAUUCUGCGAAGCUCGAGGCCCCAUGUACCUAGGGCAUGUGGCAUUGGGCACGAAGUGUGGCACAGCUCGACUCUGAGUCCUGAGGGAGUUGGGACAGGUGUGUUGAAGACGCAGCCCUGAGUUGGACUCUGAGGCCCUGAGCUAACCCCAGCCACCAAGAACUCAAUGGGUAGAACAAAGCAGAGAGGGGGGGGGGUCCAGGCCUGGCUGGGUCUGCUUCUGCCUCUCCACCCUUCCUGGCAGACUGUAAACCUCACCAAGAGGGAUAACUUCCACCUACCUCUUGGCCCCCUGAACUGGGGCCACCACUGGCCUUCGGAGAUGGGAUUUAGGCUUUGGCGGCUGCUUCCUGUCUCUGGCCAUGGUAGCUGCUCUGACCUUUCCCUUUCAGGACUAUGGAACCCCAGAUUGGAGUUGCUGCAGCCACACACAGCACAGCAGGCCAACUAUCUGCGACUUGGCUACAGCCUUGAAGCCAGCCAAGGGUCCUGAUACCCUACCCUCCCUGGAAAUUGCUUCUGUCCCUGAACUCAUGGUCCUUCUGUGUUCUGCUGUGGAGAUCCUCAAGCUAACACUGCUGUUCUCCCAAACGCCCUGCCUCUACCUGCCCCCAGACCUGGCCCCCCAUUUCCCUGACUUUUUGGGGAUCCUCCCCUCAGCCUGCAUCUCCUUCACUUGUCAGUGCAGAGAUCCCACUGUGGCUUCCAAGCCCCUCACAGUUCCCCAAAUCCUUCUCGGGCCCCUCCCUUGCCCUUCCUCAAAGGCUUUGUGUUUCCUUCCAAGUUUUUGGGAUCCUUCUUACAUACGUGGUCUUAGCUACUCAGGCUGCUGUAUUCACUUGACCUCAAGCCUGUGUUUGGACCACAUUCUCAUCUUGAUCCCACUUCCCUCUCCUUUUCUGCCUUCCAUGGAUGUCCAUGGCUUACCCUGGUCUCUCUGCUGACUGCCCAGUGCUCCCGGACAUGUCCCCUCCUCCCUGCUCCUCAUCUGACACCGACUUUCACUCAUGUUUCUCUGGGAGCUUAAGGCACCCACCCUCUGCACACACGUUCCCUCCCUUGGGUGCCAGACAUAGCAUCCCCAAGGCAGACUGAGGCUACCUUUCCUUUACACGUCUCUGGCUAUUUCUGUCUCUUUCCCCUCUCUUACCACCAAGUUCUUUGUCCCUUCUUUGGACUCAGCCUCUGUACUAUCCACUGUGUAAGCAUUUGGGGGAGGGGGGACUCAGUUCUCCUGGAACCCUGGGACCCAUCAGUUUUGGCGGGGCGGGUAGACAUCAGCAGCCAUGCCAGGAAAGCCCACAGAGCAGUGCAGGAGCACUGCGUGAAGAAACUCAGCUUAGGAGCACUGCUUUUGAAACAACCAGUUGCAUCUAAUCAAAUAAUGGUUCCUGUAACUCACAGCUAAUUUGUUUCCAGGAUCAACCUUACGCGCUUGCUCCGGUUGGGAUCUGUUUGCUGUCUCUUGGUGUCUGCACACGUCGCCUCAGCUCCUCAUCCUGCUUUGCCUGCUCUGAAUAAUUCACACAUACCAAAUUGCUUCUCACUCCUGCUGCUGAAGCUGGUGAGAGAGCUGAGCGGGGUGGGUUGCGACCGACCGGCUGGUCGAUCGGCCGGCCGGGAGAUGGCUUUCUUCUGCCUUCCUUGACCAGGGGCUUUGGGCCAUCUGAAGCUAGAGCAGAAGGCAAGAGGUUUGGGAGCCAUGGGGAGCUUCUGUGCUUUCUUUGCCUUGACCCAAAUGUUCUGUUCCCAAAGGCAGAGAGGACGCAUACAAGGAAUCCAGCCUUGUCUGUGGCACUGGCUUCUCAGGAGGUUAGGGAUGCAACAUUGCAAGUCUGAGGUCAGCCUGGUUACAUAUGAGUUCAAAGGCAACCUGAACAGCUCAGGGACACCCAGUCUCAAACUAGAGAGAAAUGAGCUGGGGACAUGAUCUGCAGUACAGCAAGCAGAGCCCCUCGGCAGCCCCUGGUGCGCGUGGCAGGUCUCAGGAGACGGCAAGAGCCACAACCUCAGCAUCUUGUGCCUCAAGGGAGGACAAGCUAUUCCUGACUCCCCUCAAGUCGAGCACACAAUUCGUGUCUCCUACAGUUCUGGAAAUGUCUGUUAAGCUGUAAUGAAGAAUGGAAGGUUCUGGAAGCCAAGUGUGAACUCCUGUUGGAUUUCAGUCUUCCCGGUGGGAAGCAGCAGUCCCCUUCUUCUUUUGUGGUAACCAGUGGCCGCCCCCCUCCAUUCGUCCUCCUUAUCAGUGCUUUCCCUUUGUCAGCCUGGGCCCCACGUUAUUAAAUGGGCCAUUCCAGAUCAUCCCGGAUCAUUCUGGAUCAUUCCGGAGCAAAUUCACUCCUCAGCUUUCCAUUCUGAUACAAGUGGGGGAAAUCUCCCAGCCGCCCAGUAUGCCCGGCUGGAUGUGAACAGUCCGUCCUAUGACCAGGGUGCCCUGGGCAGAAUCAUAACGGUCUGCUACCAGAGUGAUGCCCCUGUAUGGUGGUGUUUGGUGUUUAUGUGAAGCUGACCUUACCUGGACAUGGCCCUAAAGCAAGCAGGUGGUGCAGAGCACGUGCCAGGCAUCCUUCCAGGAAAGACAUAACAAUGGUGGUGGGACGUGUGUGGAAAAGCACAGUCCUCACGGGUGCCCGUCUCACCUGUAGCCCCAGUCCUUCCUGUGAUGGAACAUGUACUCGAGUAACAAGUUGACUGUACGAGUCCCUCCCCCAUGCCAGGUAUACCAUGGGCCCUGGGAGAGCUGAGGACCAGGAGGGAAUUUCUGACUUCUGCUGGGCCAGUAUCAACAUCUGUAGGGGUCCAGGCACAUCCAACAACCAUCAGGUGAUUGAUAGGCAGUGUGCUGUGCUCCCUGACACUGGUGUUUGCCUGAAGACUGGGAGCGAGGGAUCUGACAGCUGAGUUUUCCUUUCCCUCCACAGUAGGGCCAUUGCUUUCUCACAGAGGGAGAUUUGUCCAUCAGGACAGCUGAGUGAGUCUCUAAAAGCGGGGGAAUGCUUAUCAAUGGAGAAGUGCCAUGCAUUGUGAUUAGCAAAGAGGAUAGGACCAGCAGCUGGCCAGGCCAUCCUUCCCCAAUCCCCCUUCAUCGGGCAUUAGAACCUACUCUGAGUAGGUUCUAUCUACUCCUGCCAUUCCCACCCUGUUCCUGGAGACCCCCAAGAGGCAUCCGUCCCAAGGGGACAGCCUCUGAGUUAUCAUUGGCCAAAGGGUUGGUCCAAGUACUCCUUAGGAGGGUCUCUGAGUGCGACCUCACAAGUCUUACUGAACAGAUUGCACCCUGGGGCUCAGACAGAUCAGUGUGCAACUGGGGCUGUGUUUGGUUCUACAAGCACCCUCCACCCAAGUCAGUGCC